rnacentral:rRNA from 1 species
CCUGGGGGCCAAAGCUCCUUGGCAAAGCCUGAUCUUAUCAGAUCUCAGAAGCUGAGCAAGGCUGGGCCUGGUUAGUAGUUGGAUGGGAGACCAAUGGGAAUACCAGCUGCCACAGUGG